GUGGAUUAGAUACCCUGGUUGUCCUAGCUGUAAACGGUGCUUGCUUGCUGUGAGAGGAAUCGACCCCUUUCGUGGCGGAGCUAACGCGAUAAGCAAGCCGCCUGGGGAGUACGGUCGCAAGAUUAAAACUCAAAGAAAUUGACGGGGGCCUGCACAAGCGGUGGAGUAUGUGGCUUAAUUCGAUGCAACGCGAAGAACCUUACCUGGCCUUGACAUGCACGUAGUAGGAGUGUGAAAGCAUAACGAUCCCGCAAGGGAAGCGUGCACAGGUGCUGCACGGCCGUCGACAGCU
rnacentral:rRNA from 1 species